rnacentral:lncRNA from 1 species
CCUUCACAAGAGAAGGACACGUGACCUGCUCAAAGGGUUCCUGGACUCUGCACACCUCCACCACCUCCCAUUCCUCUUGGGUCAGAGCAUCAACAGGUCCUCUGCCAAGUUCUCUGAGGUGUGUCUGUCGCUGAAAUCAAAGCAGUCCAGAAGACAGCUUGACAUAGAAAAAUCUUCAGUAAAGUGACAUGUAACCGACAUGUAAGAAGUGGUUACCCAUGAUGUCCAGCAGUCAGUGGAAAGGCAAACUGCAGUAGCUUUUUGGACUCUUUCCCGCACUGAAGCCAGUGUGCUCUCGUACAGUUGUGGAAUAAGUGAUUUUGAAAGGGUUUUCCUGCUUGGAAUUGUGUAUGUUGGAUUUAGACUAUUGCUAUAAUUUCUAAAACCUCUGUCCUUCACGAUCGAAAAUGGCUGAAAUCGGUGGCAAUCAUUUUAGCCAAUGCAAUAUCAAUUUGAUCUUGUUUUGCUACAGACAUAGACUGGCAUAAACUGGUCCAUAGAAGACUGCGUUGCCACGGGUCGCGGAGUAGUCCUACUUGACUGAGUAGAUACAUCUCCACGUGUGGAGGUGCUGGCUCCACCACUAUCACUAACAGGCC